ensembl:lncRNA
AAGUCUUUUGAUCAGCUUCCAAGCCAGGACAGGCGGCCAUCAGGGGAUGAAAUGAGAGACAGAGGCUCAUCUGAGUGAUUAUAGAAAACUCUUACCUAACCAGAGCUCAUAAUGUAAUGGUUCAAUGUCCUUCCCUUUGAAUAGUGGGAGUUGAGCUGUAUUUCUUAGACUGGAAACCAGAAUGAAGUGUAUGGAAGUUCCAAACACUGGGAAGGUUUUUGACUUGGCCAAGAAAUUUCUCUGAACUAUACUGGUGAAAGCACUAAGAGGUUCGUGAAGCUACUCCUUUGAGAAAGGUGAUAGAGAAUUAAAUGGAACCAGCCAUAUGCAGAACGUCAGGGAUUAGUAGUGAUCUGGGCAGUCUGGAUGCUUAAUGAAGAGGUAGUGAGACGCGUGAUAGAAACAGCCCUCCUUCCAGCUCCUCCUCCAUACGAUGCUUGACGAUGGUACCCGUGGUAAGCCUCACACACCUCUUUCCCUGCCACGUCAGCAGAGUCCACGGAGCCCUUUUCUACAUAUCAGUUCUCAUAGCCACCGGGCAUUCAGUGGCUGUUCACAUGGUCAGAAUUGGACGAGGAUUUGGGAAAUCAAUAAAACAUUCUGUCUUAGACAUCUUUGGGGAAAUCUUGCUUGGUUACCCAAGGAUGCUGAAAGAGACAAAGCAACUCCUUGAAGAUAAAUCCUCUUUAUCCAGAACUGUGGGAAAACAGAAAAAAACUCUCAGCACCCAAAGCACUUACCCCAAGAAAGAAAGAAGCUAAAGCCACAGACAAUGCCUGAGAUACUCCUACUACAUUCUUGUGUUGCUUGAUAAGAUUCUGACCUAAGAACUUUUCACUUUCCCCAUGGGCUCUUCUGAAUUUAACCUUUCCAGAUUUUAACAGCACAAUUAUAUGUUGAAAAUUACAUUUGCUUAGGUGCUCUCAAUCUUGCUAGGCCUGUCAUCUUUUCAGAUAUUAAAUCCCUUAUCUAUAAUCUCAUUUUGAAAUUAUUUAUUCCCUUAUAUUUUGGGAAUGUAAAAUUUAUUUAAAUGAACAACAUUUUCAGCAUUGACAAGACACUUAUCCAAUGGAUUCUGCCAUUGCUGCAAAUAAGCUACUUCCCUUAUCUUUUCAGAUAAAGUAUCUGGCAGGGUUACUGCUCUUAUUUUCUCAUUAUUGAAGUGACUUUGAGACCCUCAUGAAGAUCACACAGAUAUGUAAUAAAGACAUAAAUAUGUUUCUAUUUCAUUUUAUAACACAAUUUUCUCCCUUUCUCUCUCUCUCUCUCACACACACACACAUAUACAUUUAUUAGGGCCUUUAGAGAAUGUCUAGGAUGCAACAGCCAUGGCAC